rnacentral:rRNA from 1 species
GAUGAACGCUGGCGGCGUGCUUAACACAUGCAAGUCGAACGAAGCACUUUGAUCGAUUUCUUCGGAUUGAAAUUUUAGUGACUGAGUGGCGGACGGGUGAGUAACGCGUGGGUAACCUGCCUCACACAGGGGGAUAACAGUUGGAAACGGCUGCUAAUACCGCAUAAGCGCACAGUACCGCAUGGUACAGUGUGAAAAACUCCGGUGGUGUGAGAUGGACCCGCGUCUGAUUAGCUAGUUGGCAGGGUAACGGCCUACCAAGGCGACGAUCAGUAGCCGACCUGAGAGGGUGACCGGCCACAUUGGGACUGAGACACGGCCCAAACUCCCUACGGGGAGCAGCAGUGGGAAUAUUGGCACAAUGGGGAAACCCUGAUGCAGCGACG